GAUGAACGCUGGCGGCGUGCCUAAUACAUGCAAGUCGAGCGAACAGACGAGGAGCUUGCUCCUCUGACGUUAGCGGCGGACGGGUGAGUAACACGUGGAUAACCUACCUAUAAGACUGGGAUAACUUCGGGAAACCGGAGCUAAUACCGGAUAAUAUAUUGAACCGCAUGGUUCAAUAGUGAAAGACGGUUUUGCUGUCACUUAUAGAUGGAUCCGCGCCGCAUUAGCUAGUUGGUAAGGUAACGGCUUACCAAGGCGACGAUGCGUAGCCGACCUGAGAGGGUGAUCGGCCACACUGGAACUGAGACACGGUCCAGACUCCGACGGGAGGCAGCAGUAGGGAAUCUUCCGCAAUGGGCGAAAGCCUGACGGAGCAACGCCGCGUGAGUGAUGAAGGUCUUCGGAUCGUAGAACUCUGUUAUUAGGGAAGAACAAAUGUGUAAGUAACUAUGCACGUCUUGACGGUACCUAAUCAGAAAGCCACGGCUAACUACGUG
rnacentral:rRNA from 1 species